rnacentral:lncRNA from 1 species
AUGGAACGGACUGGUUUUAUGUAGACACACUGGGCGUUGUAAUUUUUGUUUGUUUAGUUAGUUGCUUGGUUUUUGAAAUAGCUUAUUUCUUGUUGACCUGAUUAAUUUGUUGUUUGGUUAUUGAGGCACGCAGCUUCUUUGUUGGUUGGUUAGUUAGUUGGUUAUUUGAUUUUUGAGACACGCAGCGUACUCACCACACCACUCCCAUUGAUUCAGUCUGAAACCCAGUCCAUGGGAUAUGUCACCUUCCGGGCUGCACCAGAGACAGCAAGGACCACUAGCUGGUUGGUAAAAGUGCCCCACAGCUUGAUUGGUUCUAACCCCACUUCCAUCCAGUCAUUUUGGUUUUGGUGUUUGUUUGAAGAGUUUCUCUGUGUAGCCCUGGAUGUCUUGGAACUCACUCUGUAGACCAGGGUGGCCUUCGAUACCACUUUGAGUCUAAUCUUGGGCUCCUGGACAAACUUGCCUUGUCUAGAAAUCAUUUGUCAAGUCCUUGGGCCCUUGCUUCCCACUACAAAGUGAAGAUUGAGGCCUUAGCAUAGCUGUCUGACAGCUGAAGAAGCUGUAGUCUGCAGAAGCCUCUGACUUACUAUUGACAAUGUCCACAGGCCUGCAUCCCACUGGUAGUGCUGGUGCAGCCACGAAAGCCUUGGGGAUGCUGGAGGAGCUGCUUCCUGAGUGAUCCUAUUGGGCCCAGUGUUUAUAGAG